rnacentral:rRNA from 1 species
CGUAGGGUGCGAGCGUUAAUCGGAAUUACUGGGCGUAAAGCGUGCGCAGGCGGUUUUGUAAGACAGAUGUGAAAUCCCCGGGCUCAACCUGGGACCUGCAUUUGUGACUGCAAGGCUAGAGUACGGUAGAGGGGGUGGAAUUCCGCGUGUAGCAGUGAAAUGCGUAGAUAUGCGGAGGAACACCGAUGGCGAAGGCAAUCCCCUGGACCUGUACUGACGCUCAUGCACGAAAGCGUGGGAGCAAACAGGAUUAGAUACCCUGGUAGUCCACGCCCUAAACGAUGUCAACUGGUUGUUGGGUCUUUACUGACUCAGUAACGAAGCUAACGCGUGAAGUUGACCGCCUGGGGAGUACGGCCGCAAGGUUG